GGCUAUAAGAGGACCUACCCAAGAGAAGGUAAGAAUGCUCAAAAUUCCAGCAUAUGAGAAAGGGGUAACUGUGUCCCCACCCUUGGUCUCUUUUGACUCCAAGGAAUCAGAAUUCAAAAGAGGUUCCUGAAUGCCGUUAUCAACAUGAACCUCGUUUUUCACAAAAUACCCCACGUAACAGAAGAACAAACCAACACAAGUGGACACCAGAAACCAAGUACUGUGUUGGCAGAGAAACGCGUCUCCCAGACAUAACAACAAUGUCCACCACGAUGCAAUAGCAAGAAACAAAGAGGUAGAAAGCGCACCAGGCUCUGAAGAAGAACGAGAACCUUUUUUCUGCGAAACUGAAAAAACCCUUUUGCAAGCAAACACAAACAACUCCCCAAGCAAGCGUUUUCAGCGCCAAAUCCAAAAGGGUCAUGCAGAGCUUUUCUUCUGACCAGCCACCUUUAUACCAGUAUAAGUAGUUAAGCAAACAGAAGAUGAAAUUGAAAGCGGAAACACCAAGCGAACAAAACACGGUCAUUUUGAUAAGGGUGUUGUUGGGUUUCUCCUUAGACUCGUCCCUGGCACCUGCUGUGAAUUUCCUCAAAACCCAUGACAGCAAAACCGCCACGAGCAACAGCAGGUGGAGGAAACCGGACAAGCCAUGAAGGAAAAUGGGUUUGAGCAGAAUAGCAGUGGAAAGGUGUACGUGGGAAAGUGACAACAUAGUGUACUAGGAUCUAGGAAGGAAUGGAAUACUAGAUAGUACGGAAGAUGAAAUUUUUUAGGUUAUGAAGAGUGUGUGCGCAGAGAAGGGAAGUGCAGUCAAAAAGGAGUUCCUUGGGAAGAUGGUAACGUGGUGAGCAAGAGUGGAGUUGAGUUGACGACAAGGCCAAGGUGGAAUUUAAUUGAAUUAAUAAUAAAUGUUAGGUUAUCAUAAUUUACAUUAAAUUCUAGAUUCAGACUUCAUUACUAUUCUUUAAUUUUUUAAAAGUUGAUAGCUGCUCUCCCUUGUAGAAUAGUUGCGAAGUGGGGUACCUUCUUUUGUUGUUGUUCAACUUGUAGAAGGUGACGUGAAAUUGCAGUAGAAUAUUAAAAUUUUUAACUUUCUAUACAACUUCUUGGUCUACAUUAAAAAUAUUAAUGUGUCCACAAAAAAAAAAUCAUGCACCACAUAAUCAACCCUUACUUUUGUUCAAAAGUGGAGCAGGUUGAAUGGAUGAUGGUCAACAGUUCUACGAUGAUUGGCUAUCUACAUGGUUGAAUGGAACUGAUUGUGAAGUGGUAGCUGAGAUUUACAACCUGCUAUGGCAGUGAAGAAAUCAUAGGCUGUUUGAUUGAGAGUAGAUUUUGGACAGUGGAGCAUGUUACCGCAAAAGCUGAUACUCUUUUAGUCUUCAAAGGGGCGCAUGAUUUUGAUCAAUCUUUAUAAGUUUCCACCCAAAGAUCUAGUUAAAUGGAACAUUGCUUGAUGCCUCAGAGAAAAAGACCAAAUUAAGGUACAGGAUUUGGUAAAAUUUAUUUGAGAUUGGAGGGUUGAUGUUUUAGCAUAUCCGCAACCAAUGUCAUGCCCGAAUGUGUUCAACCAGAUGUUGCUGAGGUACUUUGUUUGAGAUUGGCCAUAAUCAAACAGAUUGCAAGAAACUGCAUGCAUGAAGCAUGAUACAUGGCAGAAAGGGUCAUAGCUACUUUGCAGCUUUGAGUUUAAGGAGACAUAUUGAAUGCAGGACUUUCCUCACCAAGUUGCCAUCCGAAUUAAAAAAAAUCCUCACUUUAUGUUUCCCCCCCUAAAAUCACCAAUACAAAUAAAUAUUAGAUAUUUAACUAUUUUAAAUUUAGUAAAGUAAAAUUAUAAAUAUUUUUACAAAAUUCUUUUAAUUUCAAUUUAUUUGAAAAUUUUAUUUUAUAUUAAAAUCUUUUUUUCAUCUUAAAUUUCAUUUAUUUGUACUUUUAAAUUAUUUUUUUUAAUUUUCUUAAAUUUGUUCUAAAUUUUCUUCUUGAAUUUACACUAUUUACAUAGUAGUUAAUAUUUUCAGUUAAUUAUUUAAAUGAAUUGUAUACAGUACAUUUUAUAAUUUUCAAUGUUUUUAUUCUUCUUGUUAAAUUACACUAUUUACACAGAAUAUUGCAUGAAACUAUUCGCGCCUUUCUUACUUGUCGUUGUUCUCAUAAAUGCUCACGGUAGAACAAAUAUUAUCUACAAACUACGAAUUAACAAAGCACUACCGAUGAAGAUAAGAAGAAGAAAAAAUCCAAAGUACUACCAAUAUCAGAGGACCUCAUAUUGAUAUGUCCACCACUUAUUAACUAUUUCAUUGGUUAUUACAUUUCUAGUUAUUCUUUAAUAAAUGUUUUAUUAUUGUUUUUCUUGAUAAAUUUAUUAUUAUCUUAAAAUCAAGUCCUUUUUUUCUUAUAACAUGUUACUGCUCCUCUUUAUUUUACGUCCUUUAAUAUGGAUUUUUUUUAAAAAAAAAAGAGAAGUCCCCCCUCGCCUACACCGAAUUAUAUUUUUAAUAUUUUAUUAAAAUAUUAAUCAUCAAGUUUUUGGUUAAUAAUUGUAAUUAUAUUUUAUUCUCUAAAACGUAUACUUCCUCAAUUUUGGAAAGUCAAAUAUACAUUUUUGUGUAAUUUAGAGCCAUGCUUUUCUUCUCGAUUCUUUUUCAUUUAUUCUUGUAUCAUGCAUUAUACCCUAUUCUUUUUCUCCUAUGACAGUCAUACAUAUUUUCCCCGGGCAUUCUCUUAAUUAUCAAGUCAUUGGGCUCAUCUACAAUAUUCAAUCUUCUCCCUAGAGGAGAAGCAAACCAUGCAUGCUCUAUAAGACUCUUCACAUAGAAGCAACACAUGAAUUGUCCAGAUCUAGAACAAAUUGGAUCAACAUCCAAACUGGAUGGAUGAAGCUUGAGAGUACCAAGAGCAUGAAAAUAGUCAGAUUUCACAUUAUUGUAUCUCCUUCGAAGGGGAAUGGAAAGAAUUUUUGUAGCAACAGGUUCCUGAAAAAGAUGUUGAACAUCCCACUGAAGAGUUUCAUGGUUAAUUUAGUCAGCCACCAGUAAAUUCUUAUAUACCAUCAUACCGCUACUCCAAGGAAUAAGAUUAGAAUCAGUAUUCGGAUCCACCUGUCCUCCCAGAGUUUAACCAAAUUUCCAUCUCCAAAGUCCCCCAUAUUCAUCUAACUUAUUAGUACUAUUUUUUAGUGAUGUGUGAGCAUUUCAUAUAUCAAACACUUCAUAAAUAGCUAUUGUUUCUUUUCAUUUCUCUCUUUCUUAUCACUUUUUCAUAUUACAGUCAUGUUCUCUCUAAAUGUCACGUAGAUUUUAGAUACCUGUGAAUUAUUUUCCUUAUUAAACUCUUUAGUCUAUUUAUUAACUUAACAUUCAAUAUUUAAUACAAAUAUUGACAAGACAAUGUUGUAAAUUAUCAUGGUAUUUCAUUCAUUGGUUUGACACCUUUCUCUAUUUAUUCUAGGAAUUAUAAAAUGGCACAGGUGAAUGUAACCUCAUGGCAUCUCUGAUGGUGCACUUUAAGUAUAUUAAUUGGUGCAAAUCUGCCUCAUCCACAUAUCCUUUGUUAUCAAACUCCUUUCUCACCUCAUCCUUCCAUAAAUCCUCUAAGGUUCUUCCCAUAUUUAUUCCAAUAAACAUUGCGUAGAGAUAUUACAGUUUCACGCACUUCCCAAUUACAAAAGGCUAAAAGAAAAGGCACAAUAAUAAUAGACAUAAAGAAGGAAAUACCAUAGAACACAUCUUAUGAGUUCUCACAAUGUGAGACAAUUUAUAUGACUUCUUUCGAAACUUAUUAAAUCGAGUUGACUAAUUAGAGGACAUUAUACUGCCUUUGGUCUACACAUACUAAGAAUGCAUCAAAACCAACUCGAUUUUCUAUUUGACUUUUGUAUAAAUCUUACCACAAUAAUUUCAUCCUUCACCCUUGUAAAGAGAAUAGAGUAUUUCACAGCUAAAAGCCCUAUUUUAUAAAAUCCAUUUUUCUAUAAAUAAAACAAGAAAAUCCAUGUAAUCCACCAGAUUUUCGUCAUUGUCAACAAACUUCUGUUUCUGUAUGUUUCAAUCAAUGAUCAUCAGAUUUCUCAAAACUGGAGUUGGACCUCAUGGUAUACUCAGCAACAAGUUGAGCAAAAGAUGAUGACUUAUUCUCCAGCAGCCUUGUUGGGGUGUCAUACUCCUCAAUAAGUCCUGCAGCAAUGCCUAACCAAAUCAGACAACGAAACAUGAAGGCACAGAAUAUCAAAGUUCUCUGAAGAAUGACAUCCUUUCCUAACCUUGACUGAGAAGCAGAACCAUAUCACUGUCUAGAACAGAAGUUAUUCGAUGUGCAAUGGUAAUGACUGUAGAGUCAGAGAAAUGUUGCCUAAGAGUUUGCUGAAUCAAAUUAUCCGUAGCUGUAUCAACUGAUGCAGUGGCUUCAUCAAGCACCAAAACCUUGCUUUUCUUAAGCAGCACCCUGCCAAGGCAGACCAACUGCCUCUGACCCAUACUCCAAUUCUCACCAUUCUCAGUAACUACAACAUCAAGUUCAACAAUAGCAAUAAGUUCAAGGUUAGAUUUACUAUGCAUUUAAGUACAAUAAGGAUCGAAGACAAACCUUUGGAGUCGAGCUUUCCUUCUUUCUUUCUAACUUCAUCUCCAAGUUGACACUUAUCCAAGGCCUAUUUAAAAGAAUGUAAAUAAGUGAACGCAAUAGAAAUUUAAAGAAUGAUUACAAGUAUAAUCUUUUGGACAGAACUUAGUGUCUACAUAUAAAACCAACCCACCUCCCAAAUUUCUUCAUCAGUGUAUUCUUCCAGGGGGUCCAAAUUAUUUCUCACGGUCCCUUCAAACAUUGUUGGAUCUUGAGGAAUGAUGCUUAGUCUAGACCUCAAAUCAUGAAGUCCAAUUGAAGAGAUGUUGAUGCUGUCAAUCAUAACUUGGCCGGCAGUAGGCUCAACAAUUCGGAAAAGUGUUUGUAUGAGAGUGGAUUUACCACUUCCUGUUCUCCCAACAAUGCCAGUUUUCAGUCCUCCACGAAAUUUGCAUGUAAGACCGCGCAAGACAAGUGGGAGAUGUGGAGCAUAACGAACCUUCAUCAUGGGCAAGACAUCAUUACAAACGUCGCACAAACAUCUUGUAAAAAUUAUGCUAUGAAAUAUGUUGGCAUGAUUUUUCUGUUUCAGAAGCUAAUUAGUUGCCAUUACAGAAAGGAAAACCUUGAUAUGAACUUGAUAAAUCAAUUAACCGAAAAAUGAAAGAAAACAAAAGCACAAAACCAUAAACAUAUAAUAGCUCAAACUACCUUCAAAUCUUGUAUAUCAACCUCGCCAUAUGAAGGCCAAGAAGGAUCUGGCCGAUUAUCGUCUACAACAAGGGAAGGCUCACAAGGAAUACAAGUAUACUGAAGUAUUCUUUCUACUGAUAUAAUUUUGUUCUCCAUAUUGCAGAGAUUCCAUAUCAUCCAACCUUGUACAAUGUUCAAAUUAAGUCCAUAUGUAACAGCUAAACCAGCAAGGCCUUCAAAAUCACAAAAAAGUUAUAAAAGAGAAACUAUUAUGUUUAAUUCCAUAUUACAUUAGAAGAUUAAAUUUUGAUUUGUAACAGAUAGGAAUAACUCACCUGGAUCUAUGAAUCCCUGUGGAAUAGAUAUUAAGAAUAUUAAGGAAAAGGCAAAUGUGAUAGAAGACAACAUAUCCAAACGGAAACACAACCAUUCCACGGCACCAGCAAUAUUGAACAUUGGCCGAGAAUAUCCAUCAGUCAGUUUCAUAUUUGUUUCCUGAAAUCUUGACUGCUGAUCAAAGCUUCUAAUAGUUGUAGUACCAGAAAUUGUUUCAGCAAAGUGUUGAAUGAUUGGGGCUUUGCAGACUCCAACUAAGCGUGAUAGUUCUCGGGCUGAUGGAAUAUAAUAUUGCUGCAAUAUUCUAAGCUUGUAAGAUGUUAUAUAUCAUCAUGUAAUAUUGUAUAAUGGAGUCAAUUUUGCAAAAUAUGUUUGGUUCAUAAGCUGUGCUGUUAAGGCCAUUGACAGAGAAGGAUGCAAAUAAUGCAAGAAAUAUGUGUCACUUUAUUAUCAGUAGUUACAUGGUCAGAUUAAUACCUGAUACAAGACGCUGAUUGCUAUCACAGGUAUAAAGACAACGAAAACCUGCCAUGCAGCUUGAGACAUCACUGCUAUAAUUCCCAGAAGCUGGAUCAAAAUGAAGGCAAAUGAUGCAAUUUGAUAAGGAAUGUCUGUAUCCAAUGCACUUUGAUCGGUCGAAGCCUGCAAGAGAACAACAGGAAGAGACACAAGUGACAAUAUUAUAUAAUUUAUAGUUGCUGAAAACAUUUAACAAAAUCAGGGAACUAUUAAUCUAGAGGGAAAAUGCUAUUUAAGACACAAAAAUCAUAUCUCUAAAAUCAAUGACAAAAAUGGAAAAUACAUACUCUGUUAAGGAUUCGUCCACUUGGAGUGGAAUCGAAAAAUGACAUUGGAGCACGGAAAAUGCAGAAGUGCAUUUUAUUGAAGAGUAUAGUAGCUGUUUUAUAACCAGCUGUUACAAGAAGUAUUGCUCUGGCAAGGAUGCAGAAAGAACUUCCAAUGGCCAAACCAACAUAGACUGCUAUAAGAGUCGUUCCUUCAACAGGUGGCUGCACAUCCUCUGAGAUGGGAGUCGCCCAAACCAUCCAAUAAUUACUUCCAAUUUGAAGAGCUUGAAAAAGAAUCUGAGCCAACAAUAUGAAUGGUACAAGAGCUCCACCAUAUGCUGUUGUGAUACAUUUCCAAUAGACUGAAAACCCAACUUUACCUUUCUCUCUUUCUUCUUCCUGAACAAGCUGGCCUUGUGGUUCACUUUUAUCGUCUGUUUUACCGUUUUGCUCAUCUUUGCUAUCCUUUUUUUCUUUAAAACCAUGUGCACCAGAGAGGUUUACAUCUUGUUCCAACACACUUAUUUCAUUAGAUACCGCCGCUCCAUCCAAUGAAUCUAGUGUAGACAAAGCUUUUUUGUGUGCACCAACAAGUUCCAUAAAAUCAGCACCACUAUUAAGCAGAUCUGUAUAUUUUCCACAUUGAGUAAUUUUCCCAUCUUUCAUGACCUAACAACAAGGAUAACAAGAUGGAUUAAAAAACAAACCUAUUUCUACAUUAAUGACAAUAAAAUUGUAAAAACCACUCACCAAUAUAAGGUCAGCAGCAGGUAAGAACUCCACUUGAUGAGUGACAUAAACCACUGUCUUUGAACAUAAAAGGCCUAGCAAGCAUUCCUGCCAUACACAAAACAGAAAGGUUCACUUACAUAAAUACUACAACUAGAGUCAUGCUGUUGGAAGAACCACAUUUCAAAAGAGUUAAAUCAAGGAAAAUUAUUUGUAUUCUGCAAUGCACAAACAGAUUUAGUAGCUCAGGUUAUAUUGCACAUAAUAAACAAAAUAAUGAAACCAAAUUACCUUAAAGAGGUGAGAUCCUGUGUGAGCAUCCACAGCACUGAAAGGGUCAUCAAAUAGAUAUAUAUCAGCAUCUUGGUAAAGUGCACGUGCAAUUUGUAUUCUUUGCUUCUGUCCACCACUCAAAUUUAUUCCACGUUCUCCUAUAAUUGUCUGAUCACCAAAUGAUAAAAUCUCCAGAUCCUUCUUCAGGGAGCAGGCUUCAAGUACCUUCUCAUACCUUUCCCUAUCCAUGCAUUCACCAAACAAUAUAUUAUCCUCUAUCUUGCCGCUUUGUAUCCAUGAAGAUUGAGCAACAUAGGCUUUUGUUCCGCAAACCUUAAGGAUGCCUGAUAUCUUUGGCACUUCUCCCAAUACACAAGAAAGUAAAGUAGACUUGCCUGAUCCAACAGUACCACACACAGCAACCCUCAUCCCAUGAAAAACUUUAAGAUUUAUAUUUUGCAAAGUUGGACUAGGGGAAGAUAAAUCCCAAGAGAAGUUUCCAUCAACUACUUCAAUUGCUGUAUCGGAACUGCCCCAAGGAAGCUUCUCUACAACAUCAGACCGUAAGUCAUCAAGACGAAGGAAUGACACAAUCCUAUCAAGAGAAACUUUAGUUUGUGCUAUCAUCGAAAUUGUAUCUGGAAGAUUGUAAAUGGGCUCUUGAAGAGUCCGAAAUGUUGCAAGUGCAGACAAGAUCUUCCCUGAUUCAAGGGGGAUCCCUAUAAGCAUACAAGUACCAAAAGUAACCACAGAUACAAAUGUGGGGGAACCCCAAAACACAAAUGUGGUCAGGGCUGCAGUAUAAACAUAUUUUUUUAGCCAACCUUGCUCGUUUUUCCUGAGCUCGGUUAUUUUCAAUAGAAACUUCAUUUCCCAUCCUUGUAGUUUGAGGAUCCUCAUGUUCCUUAGAAUCUCAGAUGUGGCCUUCAUUCUUGUAUCUUUUGACUCCAUCAACUUCUUUUGAAACUUCUCUUGCAAUGAUCCCAAUGGAACAUUUGCCAACAUAAUAAUAACAGUUGCAACAAAAGCAGCAAUUGAAGCCAGGCCAAGGUUUUUAUACAAAAUCAACAAGGCUAGCGUAACUUGCAGAACCACCAUCCACAAAUCAUGCAUAUACCAACUGAAGACACCAACUCUUUCAGCAUCAACAGUCAUGAAAUUGAUUAUUUCCCCAGAAGUGUGACCCUGCUUUGAUUGACAAGAAAGGGUCAGAGCCUUAUUAUAGAUCAUUGUGACAAGCAGCGCUCGGAUUCGGAGUCCAACUUGCUGCAACCUAAAGAACCAAUGCCUUCGGGUCAGGCACUCCACAAGCUUUGCAAAGAAAAAUGCAGAAACCAAAAAAUACCCCUGGUUUUCAUACAGCCGUUGUCCACCGAGGUACUGAACAAAACCGUCAAUGAGAUAUGGACCAACAUAAGAAGCCAAAGUUUUUAACAAUACAAGAAAAGCUGUGAUAAGAAUCUCCUUCCAUGCUGAAAUUAUUAACGACUUCACCAACUUCAGUGUGGUGACACUAUUAAUUCCACCACAAUCAGCCUCAACUUUCUCUCUGAAAGUUGGAAAAGCACCAAUUACACUAUCUCUGCUGUCUAGUUGAGGAACAUCCUCAAGGUCCAGGGUCUUCUUAUUACCAACGGCUAUAAGAGGACCCACCCAAGAGAAGGUAAGAAUGCUCAAAAUUCCAGCAUUUGAGAAAGGGGUAACUGUGUCCCCACCCUUGGUCUCUUUUGACUCCAAGGAAUCCGCAUUCAAAAGAGGUUCCUGAAUGUCGUUAUCAACAUGAACCUCGUUUUUCACAAAAUACCCCACGUAACAGAAGAAAAAACCAACACAAGUGGACACCGCAUCAGAAACCAAGUACUGUGUUGGCAGAGAAACGCGUCUCCCAGACAUAACAACAAUGUCCACCACGAUGCAAUAGCAAGAAACAGAGAGGUAGAAAGUGAACCAGGCGCUGAAGAAGAACGAGAACCUUCUUUGGCCGGAACUGAAGAACGCCUUUUGCAAGCAGACGCAAACAACCCCCCAAGCAAGCGUUUUUAGCGCCAAAUCCAGAAGGGUCACGAGCUUUUCUUCUGACCAGCCACUUGUAUACCAGUAGAAGUAGUUAAUGAAACAGAGGAGGAAAUUGAAAGCGGAAAGAGCAAGAGAAGAAAAAACGGUCGUUUUGAAGAGGGAGUUGUUGGGUUUCUUCUUAGACUCAUCCCCGGGACCUGCUGUGAAUUUCCUCCAAACCCAUGACAGAACAACCGCCACGAGCAACAGAAGGUGGAGGAAACCGGACAAGCCAUGAAGGAAAAUGGGUUUGAGCAGAACGGCAGUGGAAAGGUGUACGUUGGAAAGUGACAACAUAGUGUACUAGGAACUAGGAAGGAGUGAUGUUGUGGGGUAAUAGAUAUUGUGGAAUGUGGAAGAUAAAGAUUUUGAGGUUAUAAUUAAAGAGUAGUGUGUGCACAGAAGAGAAGUCAGAGGGGAUUUGUUGGCAACAGGACAAUGAUUAGUAGAGAAGCACCCACCAAGGACAGGCCCAAGAGAAAUAUCAAGAAGCCAGCCCACUUUCAGGAUUACAUUUGAGUUACACAGAAUACUCUUGCUGAGUAGAUAAUAGGAUAAUUGCUAUUGUAAUUCUGCUAUAGGAAAUUGGUUUGAGACAAUAACCAAUUCUGUUACAAUUCCAUUUUCGAGUUAGUUACAGGGUAGCUGGAUAAUUACUGAAUAUUCAGCUUUAUUAUCAUAUUUCCAUGUUAUAAAUACAGUAUCAGAAAUAAAAAUCAGGAAGAAGAAUGUUACCAUUAGCUUGUAGAUCAUAGUUGACAAGUAAACGCCUAACAGUCUGGUCCGACCUGCCUCCAUGCCGGAACACAACACCCGCCAGACCUCCAUCGAACGUCUCGAGGAGGCCGUUCUCAAGCUCACCCAACACCAGGCCACCCUCUCUCAAGCCAACACGGACCUCAAUCAAAAACUUGAUUCCGUCCUCGACCGUCUUGCCGCCCUUACCACAACCCCACCCUCACCCAAAACCCCGCCGUCACCACCUCCUUUCCAUCAUGCGCGACCACACAUGAAACUGGAAGUACCCCGCUUCGAUGGAAAGGAUCCUCUCGGCUGGAUCUUUAAAAUUACCCAAUUCUUCGACUACCAGGGCGUCUCCGAUGCCGAGCGUUUGACCGUGGCCUCCUUUUAUAUGGAGGGCCCCGCCCUCUGUUGGUUCCAAUGGAUGUCGAGGAACGGUUUCCUCACAUCCUGGCAGGCAAUGCUACAAGCAUUAGAGACACGCUUUGCCCCGUCGUACUACGACGACCCAUAUGGAGCCCUUUUCAAAAUUCAGCAACGCGGCACCGUGAACGAAUAUCUCUCAGAGUUCGAGCGACUCGCCAACCGCAUCGUCAGACUCGCCCCACCCCUGUUGCUCAGCUGCUUCAUUUCAGGUUUGAACCCCGAAUUGCGUCGUGAAGUUCAAGCCCUGUAACCUAUGUGCCUUCCCCAGGCAAUGGCCCUGUCCAAGCUUCAAGAAGAUAAACUUCUGGACCGCCGCCGUACUCACCGCCACCAUUUCCCGAUUAACACCACCCCUCACUAUCCCCCCAACCCCCCACCUUCCUCCUCAGCCUCGGCUACAAACAAACCCCCCGUUCGCCGCCUCACCCCUGAAGAACUAGCCCUGAAAAGAGAUAAGGGGUUGUGCUACCACUGCGACGAGAGAUGGUCUCCGGGGCAUCGUUGCAAUCCCCGCAUUCAUCUUCUCAUCGCGGCCGAGGACCCCGACCCACCCCUCACCACAGAGCCACCUGAUUCCCCUCCACCAACCUCGUUGCCCCUCCACCAUGACGACUCCCCUCCCCUGCUAAGUCUGAAUGCCUUAUCCGGCAUGCCCGCCCCGGAAACCUUCCGCGUUUACGGCACCGUUCGCUGUCAUCAACUCACCAUCCUCGUGGACGGUGGCAGUACGCACAAUUUUGUGCAACUGCGCGUGGCGAAGUUCCUCGGCCUCCGAUCGACUCCGGUGACCCCCCUUCCUGUUAUGGUGGGCGACGGUGGCGUCAUCCAUUGUGACCGCCGCUACCCUCAGGUCUCCAUCACCAUUCAGGGGCACCAUUUCACCACUGAUCUCUUCGGGUUACCCUUAAGUGGGGCUGACCUAGUCCUUGGGGUCCAGUGGUUACGGGCCUUGGGCCCGGUUACUACUGAUUACACCGCCCUCUCCAUGUCUUUUACACACUUGGGCCUUCCCAUCACCCUCUUUGCAGACGUCCCGGUUACACCCCCCCUAGCCUCGGCCCACCAGCUUCGCCGGAUGCUUCGAACACAGGUCGUCGCGGCCCUGUUCCAGCUAGGCCCUGCUCCUUCUUCCCCACUUUCUACCACCCCCACCUUACUCCCGGCCACAGAACCCCCACCCCUUGCCCUUCACCCUCUUCUAACCAAAUUCCACCACCUCUUCCAGGAGCCAACCCAGUUACCGCCAGCCCGACUUAUUUCCCACCACAUUCACCUCACCCCAGGGGCCAAACCAGUCACCGUUAAGCCUUAUCGUUACCCACAUAGCCAGAAAACCGAACUCGAGAAGCAAGUCCAGACUAUGCUAGAUUCCGGUUUGAUUCGACUGAGCCAUAGCCCAUUCUCAUCCCCCGUCCUCCUCGUUAAAAAAAAGGAUGGCAGCUGGCGCUGUUGUAUCGAUUAUCGCGCCCUUAACUCCAUUACCAUCAAGCACAGUUUUCCCAUGCCCACCAUUGAUGAGCUGCUGGACGAGCUUGGUGCGGCUUCGUGUUUCUCUAAGUUGGACUUGCGCCAGGGAUUUCACCAAAUCCGCAUGGCAGAGGAGGACAUCCACAAAACCGCCUUCCGCACUCAUUCCGGCCACUAUGAAUACUGCGUGAUGCCCUUCGGGCUGUGUAACGCCCCAGCAAAGUUCCAGGCAACUAUGAAUGAAAUGCUCAAACCAUUUUUACGCAAAUUCGUUGCGGUGUUUUUUGACGACAUCUUGGUCUACAGCUCAUCUUGGGACGAUCAUCUUCUUCAUCUCGAGGCUGUCUUCUCCACCCUGGCCCGUGAUUCCUUCUACCUCCGCGAGUCCAAAUGCGUCUUUGCUAAGACCCGAUUACAGUAUUUGGGCCACAUUCUCUCUGCCACAGGAGUUUCCCCAGAUCCCUCCAAAAUUUCGGCUAUCGUGGAUUGGCCAACCCUCACUACCACCACCGCUCUCCGUGGUUUCCUUAGUCUGACCGGCUUCUACCGCCGUUUCAUCCGAGGUUAUGCCCCAUUGGCUGCCCCACUAAACUCAUUACUCCGUAAAGACGGCUUCCAUUGGACUGACGACUCCCAACGCGCCUUCGACACCCUCAAACAGGUAAUGAUUUCGGCCCCCGUUCUUAUUCCGCCGGAUUUCACGAUUCCAUUUUGCUUGGAAACAGAUGCUUCAGGGGUCGCCGUCGGCGCGGUUUUAUCACAAAAUGCUCAUCCAAUUGCGUAUUUUAGCAAGACUCUCUGCCCCAGGCUGCAACGUUCUUCCACCUAUGUCCGGGAACUCCAUGCCAUCACUUCCGCCGUCCGUAAAUGGCGUCGCUACCUCCUCGGCCAUCCUUUCACCAUUAUUACCGAUCAUCAGAGUCUGAAGGACUUGAUGAAUCAAGUAAUCCAGACUCCCGAACAACAGCAGUACCUGGUCAAACUCUUGGGCUACUCUUACACCAUCCAAUACCGGCCUAGCUCCGGCAAUGCAGCCGCAGACGCUCUUUCUCGAGUCACCCCCGCCGGCCAAUGCCUGAUCCUUUCCGUUCCUCUUCUCGACUGCAUGGCCGAUAUCCACCAUUCAGUACAGCAAUCCCCGGCUUACCACGAAUUACUUGCCACACUCCACCAGCAACCCGAGGCCCACCCUGACUAUUCCAUCAAUUCCGGCCGCAUCUCCUUUCGCGGCAAGCUGUGGUUGCCCCCUGACAACCCGUUCAUCCCCAUGCUCCUUGAAGAAUUCCACUCCACCCCACUGGGUGGACACAUGGGUGAAAAGAAGACGCUGCGCCGCCUCCGUGACUCUUUCUACUGGGAUCACAUGCACCGUGACGUCCACCGCUUCGUUUCUCAGUGCCGGAUUUGCCAGCAAAUUAAAUAUGAGGCCCGUAAACCCGCUGGUUUGCUCCAACCUCUGCCAAUUCCCUCUGGCCUGUGGGAGGACUUGUCGCUUGAUUUCAUCACCGGCCUUCCGCCGUCGCACGGCUUCACCACCAUCCUCGUGGUGGUCGACCGCUAUUCUAAGGGUACCCACCUCGGCGCACUUCCCCCAAAGUACUCUGCUUAUAAGGUUGCCUGUCUAUUCUUCGACAUUGUCUGCAAGUUGCACGGCUUUCCCCGCAGUUUGGUCUCCGACAGAGACCCAAUCUUCCUCAGUUCAUUCUGGCGCGAACUAUUUCGCAUUUGUGGCACCAAACUCCGCUAUAGCACUGCGUACCACCCUGAAUCUGACGGCCAGACGGAGGUCCUUAAUAGAACUCUGGAGCAGUAUCUCCGCUCGUUCGUUCAUGACAAGCCUGCCCUCUGGCACUCCUUUCUCCCUUUGGCCGAAUGGAGUUACAAUAUGUCCACUCACUCCGGGACCGGCCUCUCACCGUACGAGAUCACGUACGGAAAGCCUCCCCCAGCUUUCCCCCCAUACACCACGGGCACCUCGUCAGUGGAAGCUGCAGACUCCCUCUUGUCCACCCGCCAAGCUCUGCACACUAAGUUGCAAAGUCGUCUAUUGAAAGCGCAGAUGGCAAUGAAGAACCACGCUGACCGCCACCGUCGGGAUGUCCAUUUCCAGCCAGGUGACUUAGUCUAUGUCCGCCUCAAGCCAUAUCGGCAACUCUCCAUGCGCCCCCAUUAUUCCAAGCUUGCCAAGAGAUUCUACGGUCCUUAUCCGAUCACGGAAUGUGUCGGACCUGUGGCCUACCGCCUCCAGCUCCCCGCGGAUUCCAAAAUCCAUCCUGUUUUCCACGUGUCCCUCUUAAAACCCCAUCACGGCCAGCCUCCUCCUGUGGACGACCCCCUUCCACCUACACAGGUUGAUCAUCACCCUCUCGUCGAGCCCCUCUCUUUCCUAGAUUGGAAACUGGACACCACCACGGACCCACCGUCACGCUCGGUCCUGGUUCAAUGGCGUGGCCUCGCGCCGGAGGAUACCUCCUAGGAGGACUGGGACGCUCUUCGUUCACUUUACAACCUCGGGGACGAGGUUGAGUUUCCAGGGGAGGGUGUUGUUAGCAACAGGACAAUGAUUAGUAGAGAAGCACCCACCAAGGAUAGGCCCAAGAGAAAUAUCAAGAAGCCAGCCCACUUUCAGGAUUACAUUUGAGUUACACAGAAUACUCUUGCUGAGUAGAUAAUAGGAUAAUUGUUAUUGUAAUUCUGUUAUAGGAAAUUGGUUUGAGACAAUAACCAAUUCUGUUACAAUUCCAUUUUCGAGUUAGUUACAGGGUAGCUGGAUAAUUACUGAAUAUUCAGCUUUAUUAUCAUAUUUCCAUGUUAUAAAUACAGUAUCAGAAAUAAAAAUCAGGAAGAAGAAUGUUACCAUUAGCUUGUAGAUCAUAGUUGACAAGUAAACGCCUAACAGGAUUCCUUGGGAAGAUGGUAACGUGGUGAGCAAGAGUGGAGUUGUGUUGACGGAGAAGACCAAGGUAGAAAUUAGGAAAAGAGACAAAAGGGUGUGCCUUUUCCAGGAAGAAAAUUGGAAUGAACUCGGAAAAGUUUGAGCUUGAAAGACACACUCACUCGUAUUCUGUGGUCAUUACGUUGAAGAGAGAGGUUUGAUCUCAAAUUUCUAGUGGGGUAAUUAAUCUGUUUAGUAAUGUUAUCAGUCGUUUUUUUAAGUAAUGCUACUACUCCAUAUUUCCAAUGGCCUUACUUUAUACUGUACGUAUAACAUUAGUACUGUGUUGCAUUAUUUAAAUCUGUUUGGUAAUGUUACCACUCCAAAUUUUCGAUGACAACUUCUAAAGUUAAUUCUUUUCCUCUUUGCGUCAUCUUUUUUUAUAAUGCUAUACGGUAGUGUUUUUUUAUACUAAUUUUCCUAUAUGAAAUAUUAAAUGAAAAAUCUUAAAAUAUUAAAUAUAUUUAAAAUUUGCCUUACAAAGAAAGAAAGAGAAUUGGUAGGAAGAAGUUGUAAUUGUAAUAAAAUUUAUAAUUAUUCUUUUUUAUCUAUUAAGUAUAAGUAUUUAAAUUUAGUUAUUAAAAUAUAUAAAGGGUAAAUAUUUUUAUAGCGUCAAUUAUCACAUCAAAUAUAGUUUUUUUAAUAGUGUCAGUUAAUUUUUCCAUGGCUUUUUUUUUAUAAUUUUGUUGUUAAAUUUACACAGAGUACGAUGCAUGAAUCCAUUCGCGCCUUUAUUUCACGUCGUCGUUCUCAUAAAUGUUCACGGGAGAACAAAGAUAAUCAUCUACAAAUAUUUAUCGUCGUUAUUCUCAUAAAUGCUCACGGGAGAACAGAGAUUAUCAACGAACUAUCCAUUACCUUAUUGACUAUUCACAUUUCUAGUUAUUCUUUAAUAAACUUAUCAUUCAUAUUACGAAAUUACAAACGAAUAAAAAAAGUUGACUAUGAGUUUGGUUUGGAUUUAGGUGAAAAUAAUAUUCAAUCAAUUGAUUUUAUUAAUUAGUUUUAUUUGAUUUGGAUUUUAAUUUUUUCAUCCCAAACUAAAUCAAUGAUGAUGAAUGGAUUGAUUGAUUUUCAGUCAUUGAAUAUCUGAACAAAAUAAUUUUAAAAAAUUAAAAAUAACAUGAUUUUGUUCCAAAAUUAAUAAAUAAUAUUAUCAUAAAAUACAAAUAAUGUAUUUAAAUAUAAUUGACAUAUACCAAAUAAAUAGUAACAUAAAUCAUAAAAAAACACAUAAUUAAUUAAUUAUAUCACAAAAUCCCUUCUAUAUAUAUUAAUAGAAAAUAAAUCAAAUUCUCCAACAAUAAACAUUGAUUUUAAGGCAAAAUGAAGUGAAAUACAAUGAAAGACUCAAAAGAGCACAAAGCUUUAAUAUAUAUCCAAUGACAGAGAGACCUAUAUUCGUAUGAGUGUGAGUAAAUACAUCCUUCAAUUUAAUAAAAUCAAAUCACUAGUAUUUGUGUUAUAAUUUUAUAUUUUACACUUCCUAAUUUUAUGUUUGAACCACUUAAUUUAUUCUCAAGUGAAAGUAAGCAAAUACAUCCUUUUAUUUUAAUAAAAUCACAAAUAUUUUAUAUUUUGUACAUCUAAUUUUUACAUGUUUAAAUUCAUUAUCUCAUUUUCAUUCUUCUUAUAUCUUUAUUUAUGUAUUUAUUAUUGUAUAUAUCAUAAUUAUUACUACCUUUAUUCCUAUAUAUAUAUAUAAAAUAAAUGAGAAUUUUGUCCCUUAAAUACAAGUAACAUAUGAUCAUGUUAAAUGCAUUAAUUGUUUAUUUUCUUUUAUACUUUUAUUUAUUAUAAAGACUACUAAUGAGAUUAGUCAUAUUCACUAGUGAAAAAAAUUAUCCCUUAAAAGAUUAGCAGUGUCAUUAAAUGUAACCAUCACAGUUAAACCAUUUGAUUCCAUAACUAUUUUUGAAAUAACAUUUAAAUCUAUGAUAUUAUAUAUUAAAAUUAACUAAAUUAACUACUUGUAUCGAUCUUGAUGAAUGGUGUAUUUAUUUCUUAUAUAUAACUAAAUUUAUUUUUAAAAUAAAAUAUUUCAGUAAUGUAGGAUCCUAGAUCCAUCAAUAUAUAUAUAUAUAUAUAUAUAUAUAUAUAUAUAUAUAUAUUUAAAUUGAUUCAAAUUUAAAAAUGCGAAUCAUCCAAAUCAAUUAACAUUAAAUUUGAAUUCAUUCAAUUUAAGUCUAACUUAAAUGGGGAAAAAAUUUAAACUAAACUAAUUGAUUUAAUUUGAAUUAUAAGAUUGAUCGGAAUCCACCUUAGUGAGUUAUCAACUUGUUCUUCAUUUGUGUUUUUCUUAUGUUUCUUUAUUGCUUCAAAAUUUAUCUUAUAAGAUUUUUGUUCUUUUUCAUGAAGAAAUUCCUAAGAAGUCAAGAGAAAAAUGAGAGUAUGGAUAAAGAAAAUAUUCUAAAUUAGGCUAUAAGCAAAUGUGAUCAUUCUAAAUAGGCUUUUACUCCGAAAACUCAUAACUUGAGAUUUUUUUAUCUGAUGUCGAUAAGGAUUACACAGUAUUUCUUUAUUUAUUACGCAUGUUGUAAAUAAUAUCCAUUAUGACAUAUAUUAAAAAAGUUAGUAAUAUUAUUUUAAAAUAAAGUAAAUAUAAAAUUUAAAAUGAGUAUAUGUAAUUAAUAGACUUGUAUAAUCCAGGUAAUUGAUUAUAAUUAUAAUUAAAUAAUUUAAUAAUUAAAUAAGUUUAGUGAAAUAGUUACAAAAGAGCAUGACAUACGAAAAACACAUAACAGUAACCCCAACCAAGGCUCAAUAAAAAUAUGUGCCAUAAGACUCUGCAACACAUUAUUUGAUUUAUUUCCAUGACUCUCACCAAAAACUAAUGAGCAAAUUACACUAAUAUUUGACACCCCUCUUAUGAUAGUGUUAAGUAAACGUUAAUUUUUAAAGAGCAUUUACGAAAAUGUCCUCCCCACAUUUCAGAAAAUCCAAAAUUGUCCCACAUCGAAGAAAAAAAAAGCCAUAGGAUUUGGUCGGAGUGUUGGUCCAUGUUGUUAAUUUCCAAUUUUGCAGCUCUCUUUGACUCUUCACAUAGCAGCAACACAUGAAUUGUCCAGAUCUAGAACAAAUUGGAUCAACAUCCAAACUGGAUGGAUGAAGCUUGAGAGUACCAAGAGCAUGAAAAUAGUCAGAUUUCACAUUAUUGUAUCUCCUUCGAAGGGGAAUGGAAAGAAUUUUUGUAGCAACAGGUUCCUGAAAAAGAUGUUGAACAUCCCACUGAAGAGUUUCAUGGUUAAUUUAGUCAGCCACCAGUAAAUUCUUAUAUACCAUCAUACCGCUACUCCAAGGAAUAAGAUUAGAAUCAGUAUUCGGAUCCACCUGUCCUCCCAGAGUUUAACCAAAUUUCCAUCUCCAAAGUCCCCCAUAUUCAUCUAACUUAUUAGUACUAUUUUUUAGUGAUGUGUGAGCAUUUCAUAUAUCAAACACUUCAUAAAUAGCUAUUGUUUCUUUUCAUUUCUCUCUUUCUUAUCACUUUUUCAUAUUACAGUCAUGUUCUCUCUAAAUGUCACGUAGAUUUUAGAUACCUGUGAAUUAUUUUCCUUAUUAAACUCUUUAGUCUAUUUAUUAACUUAACAUUCAAUAUUUAAUACAAAUAUUGACAAGACAAUGUUGUAAAUUAUCAUGGUAUUUCAUUCAUUGGUUUGACACCUUUCUCUAUUUAUUCUAGGAAUUAUAAAAUGGCACAGGUGAAUGUAACCUCAUGGCAUCUCUGAUGGUGCACUUUAAGUAUAUUAAUUGGUGCAAAUCUGCCUCAUCCACAUAUCCUUUGUUAUCAAACUCCUUUCUCACCUCAUCCUUCCAUAAAUCCUCUAAGGUUCUUCCCAUAUUUAUUCCAAUAAACAUUGCGUAGAGAUAUUACAGUUUCACGCACUUCCCAAUUACAAAAGGCUAAAAGAAAAGGCACAAUAAUAAUAGACAUAAAGAAGGAAAUACCAUAGAACACAUCUUAUGAGUUCUCACAAUGUGAGACAAUUUAUAUGACUUCUUUCGAAACUUAUUAAAUCGAGUUGACUAAUUAGAGGACAUUAUACUGCCUUUGGUCUACACAUACUAAGAAUGCAUCAAAACCAACUCGAUUUUCUAUUUGACUUUUGUAUAAAUCUUACCACAAUAAUUUCAUCCUUCACCCUUGUAAAGAGAAUAGAGUAUUUCACAGCUAAAAGCCCUAUUUUAUAAAAUCCAUUUUUCUAUAAAUAAAACAAGAAAAUCCAUGUAAUCCACCAGAUUUUCGUCAUUGUCAACAAACUUCUGUUUCUGUAUGUUUCAAUCAAUGAUCAUCAGAUUUCUCAAAACUGGAGUUGGACCUCAUGGUAUACUCAGCAACAAGUUGAGCAAAAGAUGAUGACUUAUUCUCCAGCAGCCUUGUUGGGGUGUCAUACUCCUCAAUAAGUCCUGCAGCAAUGCCUAACCAAAUCAGACAACGAAACAUGAAGGCACAGAAUAUCAAAGUUCUCUGAAGAAUGACAUCCUUUCCUAACCUUGACUGAGAAGCAGAACCAUAUCACUGUCUAGAACAGAAGUUAUUCGAUGUGCAAUGGUAAUGACUGUAGAGUCAGAGAAAUGUUGCCUAAGAGUUUGCUGAAUCAAAUUAUCCGUAGCUGUAUCAACUGAUGCAGUGGCUUCAUCAAGCACCAAAACCUUGCUUUUCUUAAGCAGCACCCUGCCAAGGCAGACCAACUGCCUCUGACCCAUACUCCAAUUCUCACCAUUCUCAGUAACUACAACAUCAAGUUCAACAUUAGCAAUAAGUUCAAGGUUAGAUUCACUAUGCAUUUAAGUUCAAUAAGGAUCGAAGACAAACCUUUGGAAUCGAGCUUUCCUUCUUUCUUUCUAACUUCAUCUCCAAGUUGACACUUAUCCAAGGCCUAUUUAAAAGAAUGUAAAUAAGUGAACGCAAUACAAAUCUGGUGAAACAUUACACAUACAACAAUCUUUUGAACAAAACUUAGUGUCCACAUAAAAAACCAACCGACCUCCCAAAUUUGUUCAUCAGUGUAUUCUUCCAGGGGGUCCAGAUUAUUUCUCACUGUCCCUUCAAACAUUGUUGGAUCCUGAGGAAUAAUGCUUAGUCUAGACCUCAAAUCAUGAAGUCCAAUUGAAGAGAUAUUGAUGUUGUCAAUCAUAACUUGGCCAGCAGUAGGCUCAACAAUUCGGAAAAGUGUUUGUAUGAGAGUGGAUUUACCACUUCCUGUUCUCCCAACAAUGCCAGUUUUCAGUCCUCCACGAAAUUUGCAUGUAAGACCGCGCAAGACAAGUGGGAGAUGUGGAGCAUAACGAACCUUCAUCAUGGGCAAGACAUCAUUACAAACGUCGCACAAACAUCUGGUAAAAAUUAUGCUAUGAAAUAUGUUGGCAUGAUUUUUCUGUUUCAGAAGCUAAUUUCUUGCCAUUACGGAAAGGAAAACCUUGAUAUGAACUUCAUAAAUCAAUUGACCGAAAAAUGAAAGAAAACAAAAGCACAAAAUCAUAAACAUAUAAUAGCUCAAACUACCUUCAAAUCUUGUAUAUCAACCUCGCCAUAUGAAGGCCAAGAAGGAUCUGGCCGAUUAUCGUCUACAACAAGGGAAGGCUCACAAGGAAUACAAGUAUACUGAAGUAUUCUUUCUACUGAUAUAAUUUUGUUCUCCAUAUUGCAGAGAUUCCAUAUCAUCCAAGCUUGUACCAUGUUCAAAUUAAGUCCAUAUGUAACAGCUAAACCAGCAAGGCCUUCAAAAUCACAAAAAAGUUAUAAAAGAGAAACAAUUAUGUUCAAUUCCAUAUUAGAUUAGCAGAUUAAAUUUUGAUUUGUAACAGAUAGGAAUAACUCACCUGGAUCUAUGAAUCCCUGUGGAAUAGAUAUUAAGAAUAUUAAGGAAAAGGCAAAUGUGAUAGAAGACAACAUAUCCAAGCGGAAACACAACCAUUCCAUGGCACCAGCAAUAUUGAACUUUGGCCGAGAAUAUCCAUCAGUCAGUUUCAUAUUUGUUUCCUGAAAUCUUGACUGCUGAUCAAAGCUUCUAAUAGUUGAAGUACCAGAAAUUGUUUCAGCAAAGUGUUGAAUGAUUGGGGCUUUGCAGACUCCAACUAAGCGUGAUAGUUCUCGGGCUGAUGGAAUAUAAUAUUGCUGCAAUAUUAUAAGCUUGUAAGAUGUUAUAUAUCAUCAUGUAAUAUUGUAUAAUGGUGUCAAUUUUGCAAAAUAUGUUUGGUUCAUAAGCUGUGCUGUUAAGGCUAUUGACAGAGAAGGAUGCAAGUAAUGCAAGAAAUAUAUGUCACCUUAUUAUCAGUAGUUACAUGGUCAGAUUAAUACCUGAUACAAGAUGCUGAUUGCUAUCACAGGUAUAAAGACAAUGAAAACCUGCCAUGCAGCUUGAGACAUCACUCCUAUAAUUCCCAGAAGCUGGAUCAAAAUGAAGGCAAACGAUGCAAUUUGAUAAGGAAUGUCUGUAUCCAAUGCACUUUGAUCAGUUGAAGCCUGCAAGAGAACAACAGGAAGAGACACAAGUGACAAUAUUAUAUAAUUUAUAGUUGCUGAAAACAUUUAACAAAAUCAGGGAACUAUUAAUCUAGAGGGAAAAUGCUAUUUAAGACACAAAAAUCAUAUCUCUAAAAAUUAUGACAAAAAUGGAAAAUACAUACUCUGUUAAGGAUUCGUCCACUUGGAGUGGAAUCGAAAAAUGACAUUGGAGCACGGAAAAUGCAGAAGUGCAUUUUAUUGAAGAGUAUAGUAGCUGUUUUAUAACCAGCUGUGACAAGAAGUAUCGCUCUGGCAAGGAUGCAGAAAGAACUUCCAAUGGCCAAACCAACAUAGACUGCUAUAAGAGUCGUUCCUUCAACAGGUGGCUGCACAUCCUCUGAGAUGGGAGUCGCCCAAGCCAUCCAAUAAUUACUUCCAAUUUGAAGAGCUUGAAAAAGAAUCUGAGCCAACAAUAUGAAUGGUACAAGAGCUCCUCCAUAUGCUGUUGUGAUACAUUUCCAAUAGACUGAAAACCCAACUUUACCUUUCUCUCUUUCUUCUUCCUGAACAAGCUGGCCUUGUAGUUCACUUUUAUUGUCUGUUUGACCAUUUUGCUCAUCUUUGCUAGCCUCUUUUUCUUUAAAACCAUGCGUGUCGGAGACGUUUACAUCUUGUUCCAACACACUUAUUUCAUUAGAUACUGCCGCUCCAUCCAAUGAAUCUAGUGUAGACAAAGCUUUUUUGUGUGCACCAACAAGUUCCAUAAAAUCAGCACCACUAUUAAGAAGAUCGGUAUAUUUUCCACAUUGAGUAAUUUUCCCAUCUUUCAUGACCUAACAACAAGGAUAACAAGAUGGAUUAAAAACAAAAUCUAUUUUUACAUUAAUAACAAUAAAAUUAUAAAUCCACUCACCAAUAUAAGGUCAGCAGCAGGUAAGAACUCCACUUGAUGAGUGACAUAAACCACUGUCUUUGAACAUAAAAGGCCUAGCAAGCAUUCCUGCCAUACACAAAACAGAAAGGUUCACUUACAUAAAUACUACAACUAGAGUCAUGCUGUUGGAAGAACCACAUUUCAAAAGAGUUAAAUCAAGGAAAAUUAUUUGUAUUCUGCAAUGCACAAACAAAUAUAGUAGCUCAGGUUAUAUUGCACAUGAUAAACAAAAUAAUGAAACCAAAUUACCUUAAAGAGGUGAGAUCCUGUGUGAGCAUCCACAGCACUGAAAGGGUCAUCAAAUAGAUAUAUAUCAGCAUCUUGGUAAAGUGCACGUGCAAUUUGUAUUCUUUGCUUCUGUCCACCACUCAAAUUUAUUCCACGUUCUCCUAUAAUUGUCUGAUCACCAAAUGAUAAAAUCUCCAGAUCCUUCUUCAGGGAGCACGCUUCAAGUACCUUCUCAUACCUAUCCCUAUCCAUGCGUUCACCAAACAAUAUAUUAUCCUCUAUCUUGCCGCUUUGUAUCCAUGGAGAUUGAGCAACAUAGGCUUUUGUUCCGCAAACCUUAAGGAUGCCUGAUAUCUUUGGUACUUCUCCCAAUACACAAGAAAGUAAAGUAGACUUGCCUGAUCCAACAGUACCACAAACAGCAACCCUCAUCCCAUGAAAAACUUUAAGAUUUAUAUUUUGCAAAGUUGGACUAGGGGAAGAUAAAUCCCAAGAGAAGUUUCCAUCAACUACUUCAAUUGCUGUAUCGGAACUGCCCCAAGGAAGCUUCUCUACAACAUCAGAUCGUAAGUCAUCAAGACGAAGGAAUGACACAAUCCUAUCAAGAGAAACUUUAGUUUGUGCUAUCAUCGAAAUUGUAUCUGGAAGACCGUAAAUGGGCUCUUGAAGAAUCCGAAAUGUUGCAAGUGCAGACAAGAUCUUCCCUGAUUCAAGGGGGAUCCCCAUAAGCAUACAGGUACCAAAAGUAACCACAGAUACAAAUGUGGGGGAACCCCAAAACACAAAUGUGGUCACAGCUGCAGUAUAAACAUAUUUUUUUAGCCAACCUUGCUCAUUUUUCCUGAGCUCGGUUAUUUUUGAUAGAAACUUCAUUUCCCAUCCUUGUAGUUUGAGGAUCCUCAUGUUCCUUAGAAUCUCAGAUGUGGCUUUCAUUCUUGUAUCUUUUGACUCCAUCAACUUCUUUUGAAACUUCUCUUGCAAUGAUCCCAAUGGAACAUUUGCCAACAUAAUAGCAACAGUUGCAACAAAAGCAGCAAUUGAAGCCAGCCCAAGGUUUUUAUACAAAAUCAACAAGGCUAGUGUAACUUGCAGAGCCACCAUCCACAAAUCAUGCAUAUACCAACUGAAGACACCAACUCUUUCAGCAUCAACAGUCAUGAAAUUGAUUAUUUCCCCAGAAGUGUGACCCUGCUUUGAUUGACAAGAAAGGGUCAGAGCCUUGUUAUAAAUCAUCGUUACCAGCAGCGCUCGGAUUCUGAGUCCAACUUGCUGCAACCUGAAGAACCAAUGCCUUUGGGUCAGGCACUCCACAAGCUUUGCAAAGAAAAAUGCAGAAACCAAAAAAUACCCCUGGUUUUCAUACAGCCGUUGUCCAUCGAGGUACUGAACAAAACCAUCAAUGAGAUAUGGACCAACAUAAGAAGCCAAAGUGUUUAACAAUACAAGAAAAGCUGUGAUAAGAAUCUCCUUCCAUGCUGAAAUUAUUAACGAUUUCACCAACUUCAGUGUGGUGACACUAUUAAUUCCACCACAAUCAGCCUCAACUUUCUCUCUGAAAGUUGGAAAAGCACCAAUUACACUAUCUCUGCUGUCUAGUUGAGGAACAUCCUCAAGGUCCAGGGUCUUCUUAUUACCAACGGCUAUAAGAGGACCCACCCAAGAGAAGGUAAGAAUGCUCAAAAUUCCAGCAUAUGAGAAAGGAGUAACUGAGUCCCCCACCCUUGGUCUCUUUUGACUCCAAGGAAUCAGCAUUCAAAAAGAGGUUCAUGAAUGCCGUUAUCAACAUGAACCUCGUUUUUCACAAAGUACCCCACGUAACAGAAGAACAAACCAACACAAGUGGACACCACAUCAGAAACCAAGUACUGUGUUGGCAGAGAA
rnacentral:lncRNA from 1 species